UGGACGUCACCGUGCACGAC
rnacentral:misc_RNA from 1 species